CUACGGGUGGCUGCAGUGGGGAAUAUUGGACAAUGGGCGAAAGCCUGAUCCAGCCAUGCCGCGUGUGUGAAGAAGGCCCUCGGGUUGUAAAGCACUUUCAGUGGGGAAGAAAGCCUUGGGGCUAAUACCCUCGAGGAAGGACAUCACCCACAGAAGAAGCACCGGCUAACUCCGUGCCAGCAGCCGCGGUAAUACGGAGGGUGCGAGCGUUAAUCGGAAUUACUGGGCGUAAAGCGCGCGUAGGCGGUCUGAUAAGCCGGUUGUGAAAGCCCCGGGCUCAACCUGGGAACGGCAUCCGGAACUGUCAGGCUAGAGUGCAGGAGAGGAAGGUAGAAUUCCCGGUGUAGCGGUGAAAUGCGUAGAGAUCGGGAGGAAUACCAGUGGCGAAGGCGGCCUUCUGGACUGACACUGACGCUGAGGUGCGAAAGCGUGGGUAGCAAACAGGAUUAGAUACCCCAGUAGUC
rnacentral:rRNA from 1 species